rnacentral:rRNA from 1 species
UAGAGUUUGAUCCUGGCUCAGGACGAACGCUGGCGGCGUGCCUAAUACAUGCAAGUAGAACGCUGAAGGAGGAGCUUGCUUCUCUGGAUGAGUUGCGAACGGGUGAGUAACGCGUAGGUAACCUGCCUGGUAGCGGGGGAUAACUAUUGGAAACGAUAGCUAAUACCGCAUAAGAGUAGAUGUUGCAUGACAUCUGCUUAAAAGGUGCAAUUGCAUCACUACCAGAUGGACCUGCGUUGUAUUAGCUAGUUGGUGGGGUAACGGCUCACCAAGGCGACGAUACAUAGCCGACCUGAGAGGGUGAUCGGCCACACUGGGACUGAGACACGGCCCAGACUCCUACGGGAGGCAGCAGUAGGGAAUCUUCGGCAAUGGACGGAAGUCUGACCGAGCAACGCCGCGUGAGUGAAGAAGGUUUUCGGAUCGUAAAGCUCUGUUGUAAGAGAAGAACGAGUGUGAGAGUGGAAAGUUCACACUGUGACGGUAUCUU